rnacentral:rRNA from 1 species
CUCGUGUCGUGAGAUGUUCGGUUAAGUCCGGCAACGAGCGCAACCCACAUCUUUAGUUGCCAGCAGUUCGGCUGGGCACUCUAAAGAAACUGCCCGUGAUAAGCGGGAGGAAGGUGUGGAUGACGUCAAGUCCUCAUGGCCCUUACGGGUUGGGCUACACACGUGCUACAAUGGUAGUGACAGUGAGUUAAUCUCCAAAAGCUAUCUCAGUUCGGAUUGGGGUCUGCAACUCGACCCCAUGAAGUCGGAAUCGCUAGUAAUCGCGUAACAGCAUGACGCGGUGAAUACGUUCCCGGGCCUUGUACACACCGCCCGUCACACCAUGGGAGUUGGUUCUACCUGACGGCCGUGCGCUAACCUUCGGGAGGCAGCGGACCACGGUAGGAUCAGCGACUGGGGUGAAGUCGUAACAAGGUAACCGUAAAGGGCGA